AUUGAACGCUGGCGGCAUGCCUUACACAUGCAAGUCGAGCGGCAGCGCGGGGGCAACCCUGGCGGCGAGCGGCGGACGGGUGAGUAAUACAUCGGAACGUGUCCUGUCGUGGGGGAUAACCAGUCGAAAGACUGGCUAAUACCGCAUGAGAUCGAAAGAUGAAAGCGGGGGACCGCAAGGCCUCGCGCGAUUGGAGCGGCCGAUGUCGGAUUAGCUAGNGGCGGGGUAAAGCCCACCAAGGCUACGAUCCGUAGCUGGUUUGAGAGAACGACCAGCCACACUGGGACUGAGACACGGCCCAGACUCCUACGGGAGGCAGCAGUGGGGAAUAUUGCGCAAUGGGCGAAAGCCUGACGCAGCGACGCCGCGUGGGUGAUGAAGGCCU
rnacentral:rRNA from 1 species